AAUACCUUUUUUUUUUGACAUAAAUAGAUUUAUCGUACAUCAUGCUACAUGAUACAAACAUAUUUAUUGGUAUCUCAACUCUCAAAACAUAUUGCUGAGCUAUAUUUUUCUGUCAUUGAGAAUCUAGCUUGUAUGAACAAAAAAUUUUCAUAAUUAAUAAAAUUUAUUUUCCUCCCUCCUUAAACAAAUUUAUAUAUGUACACAACUCCCUAAAAAUAAAAACUUUGCAAGUGAUAUCUAGCUUUGCUGAGUUAACGUAUUAAAUUCGAUUCUCUUAAACUACCUCUUGUGGAGACAUUUUCCCUAGAAUUCCCCAUGAUGGCUGGGUUUGUUCUGUAAAAGAACUCAAACCCAAAGUGCUCGAUGAGAUAUAUCGCGUAGGCUUCAGCUUAAUUUGUUUUCCGUUUCCAAAAAUUAAAAAAACUUCAAUAUGUCUGUGCCAAUAUUGUGAUUCAAAAGUUAAAUAUAUAAAUGAAAUUAGAGAUAAAAGUGAUUUAAUUUACAGUUAUACACCGAUAAGCUUAAGAUAUUUAUUAUCACAGCUUAAAAAUCCAUGCAUAAAUCUUUUUCAAAACCAUUUAAAAGAAACGAAAUAAUUAGAAAUAUAAAUUUGGAUGAAUUAAACCACACAAUUAUAUAAAACGAUUAUAAGUCACACAAAUUAAUGAAUAAACUAAAAAGAAUUGUAAAUAGUAACCUUUUUAGGAGUUCAAUUCGUGUAUGUGAGCCCUAAGGCAGGUCGUCGGCAAUCUCUUGAUGGAGUAGAGAUCCCUCCCAAUUAAGUUUCGGAUCACAACCCACAUUCGCCUUAUUCUGGCCACCCAUCUUCCAUUGAGCUUUUGUUACCACCACCUAUAGCUAUAUAUGAAUCCAUCACUGCCACCGCUGAUUAUGCAUUCCAUCUUUUUUGAUGAUGUAGUUUGCAGAUCCGACAUGUAUUACAACUCCUACUUCUCAUCAUCCAUCGGCAAAACGUCGAUCUGAACGAUGAAAAUUAGGUUUUCAUCUCUUGCCGUCAGAUAUCCACCUGGAAGUUGAGACCGCCAUGAAAACAGGUGUUAUAAAGUUUGAACCGAUUUCAUGGGGAUUCAAUUGUUCAUGGCUCGAUCCUUUUCCCUUCUCUCUCUAAUAUUAGGUUUAGGAAAGCUGCUGAAAAGACAGUUUGGUCUAGAGCCAAUGGCCGGAGGAGGUGGAGACCCUCCAGCAAAAAGUUUUGAGUGAACCGUUCCCAAUAUUCAACCCUAAAGUUUGCUCUUUUUU
rnacentral:lncRNA from 1 species